UUAAGCCGUUUGAAGGAUGGGGUGACACAGGAGGGUAAGCUGAGCGCACGGAUGGAAAAGUGCGUCUAAGGUAGUAGGGUGGAAGACAGGCAUAACCGUCUUCUUAAAAAGCCUGAGAACUGAUGGGGAGCGAAAUUAAGUAGCGAAGCAGCCGAACCCAAACUGUCAAGAAAAACCUCUAACGAGGCUUAUAAGUGCCCGUACCGCAAACCGACACAGGUAGGUGGGGUGAGAAUCCUAAGGCGCGCGAGAGAACCCUCGUUAAGGAACUCGGCAAAAUAACCCCGUAACUUAGGGAUAAGGGGUACCCCGUUAGCGUGAGAACUUUCACAGAAGUAGCGCGAGGGGGUCGCAGAGAAACGGCCCAAGCGACUGUUUAUCAAAAACACAGGUCCCUGCAAAAUCGCAAGAUGAAGUAUAGGGGCUGACGCCUGCCCGGUGCUGGAAGGUUAAGGGGAGAGGUUAGUGCGCAAGUGCGAAGCUUUGAACCGAAGCCCCAGUAAACGGCGGCCGUAACAAUAACGGUCCUAAGGUAGCGAAAUUCCUUGUCGGGUAAGUUCCGACCCGCACGAAAGGCGUAACGAUUUGGGCGCUGUCUCAACGAGGGGCUCGGUGAAAUUGUAAUGCCGGUGAAGAUGCCGGCUACCUGCGACAGGACAGAAAGACCCCGUGGAGCUUUACUGCAACUUGACAUUGGAUUUUGGUAUUGCAUGUACAGGAUAGGUGGGAGACUUGGAAGCCAGGACGCUAGUUUUGGCGGAGUCAACGUUGGGAUACCACCCUUUUAGUAUUGAAGUUCUAACACAGUCCCAUGAAUCUGGGACGUGGACAGUAUCAGGCGGGCAGUUUGACUGGGGCGGUCGCCUCCCAAAGAGUAACGGAGGCGCCCAAAGGUUCCCUCAGCGCGGUUGGAAAUCGCGCGUUAGAGUGUAAAGGCAGAAGGGAGCUUGACAGCGAGACAUACAGGUCGAGCUGGGACGAAAGUCGGGCUUAGUGAUCCGGCGGUAUCGAGUGGAAGAGCCGUCGCUCAACGGAUAAAAGCUACCCCGGGGAUAACAGGCUUAUCUCCCCCAAGAGUCCACAUCGACGGGGAGGUUUGGCACCUCGAUGUCGGCUCAUCGCAUCCUGGGGCUGUAGUAGGUCCCAAGGGUUGGGCUGUUCGCCCAUUAAAGCGGUACGUGAGCUGGGUUCAGAACGUCGUGAGACAGUUCGGUCCCUAUCCGUCGCAGGCGCAGGAAACUUGAGAGGAGCUGUCCCUAGUACGAGAGGACCGGGAUGGACAGACCACUGGUGUACCAGUUAUCGUGCCAACGGUAGCGCUGGGUAAUUAUGUCUGGACGGGAUAAGCGCUGAAAGCAUCUAAGCGCGAAGCCUCCCUCGAGAUGAGGUUUCCCAUAGCGAAAAGCUAGUAAGACCCCUGGAAGACUACCAGGUAGAUAGGCCGGGAGUGUAAGCUGGGCAACCAGUUCAGCUGACCGGUACUAAUAGGUCGAGGGCUUGACCAA
rnacentral:rRNA from 1 species